rnacentral:lncRNA from 1 species
UUUUGUUUUCCCCAGGUGCCCUUUGUAAACAUCUACCGUCACAGUUUUAUUAGUGGGCGGGGUUUUGGGCUGCCAGGUAAAGUCUCGAGGAGGACAUGUGAGGAGGAAGAGGACAAAAUAAACUGAACGCCAACUCAACUCAAACAUGAGGAUUUCUUUGACAGCUUCUUGGUUUUUCGCUUUGGGAUUAAUACAUCCUAUCUAUAUGUCGUUUCCUGGCCUUCGUGCGGACUUGGAGGGAUCAGGAUAUGACCUGGAAGGUUCUGGCUCCGGUUCAGGGGAUUGGUCAGAAAAAGAUGAAAUAAUGAUCAUCAAGGUUCAGCCCAACAGCAAAGAUGUCAGCAUUUCUCCGGCAAACGCAGAAGGUGGAACCAAGAAUACUUUCUCUGGUUCUUCGGGGCCGAUCCAAGACUUUGAUUCAGGAUUUCUUAUUGUGGCAAACAGCAAGAGCUUCACGGAGAACAAAGAAAUUGUUGCCGCUAUUAUUGCAGGAGGAGUAACAGGAGUGGCAAUUGCAGCUGUACUGGCAGCAAUAUUAAUCUAUUCAUCGCAGAAGAAAGUUAAUGGAGGAUACAUUCUGGGCCAGCAGAGUUCUUCAGACACAGAUGUACAGAUCCAACAGGGAAGAACUUGUUGUUUAACCUAAAACGUUAACACUGAGGUUUCUGUUCUACGGUGCUGCUGCCAGGCCAAAGGCUGUACCCUAGGGAGCGACUGUACAUUUAUUAUUUUCUUAUAUUUUUUUUGGGGGGGAGGGUGGGGGUGCUUGGUUAAUGACAGUUAUUCUCGCACUUAAUGCAAAUGCAGUGCAGUUGUUCAUUAAUAAUUUAUUUAUAUUUAUGAAGAAUUACUUUUUAUUUACUAUCUUUAACAAAGAUUUGAGCUUGCUUCGUUGUACACAGGGCCAUAGUUGGUAACAUUUUACUUUCAACUUUUGUAGAAAUCAGGUGUAGUCAGCAGGUUUAUAUGUUCUUAUUUGAAUUGUUGUGUGUGCAUGGUUGAAUGAAGACGAUCAUAUGUGCAAUAUGUGUAAUAAUCAAUUAUCAACCAUGUAUAAUACACUUUGCUAUGUAAUUGUUUUAAAGUGGCAGCUUGCAUUGCUUCCAUGCACAUAGUUUUGUAGCAUAUACAUUUAAGAUAAAUAAGAAUAAAAAUGCUUGAUAGCCCCUUUUCAUGGAAGACAUUUUGACAUGUCACAGUAAGAAAAGAUGUAAAUAAUAAAAUGAACAAUGGCUGAAUUCCAUCUAGCUGCUUAGGUUUGAGGGUCCUGGGAGUGUGCAUAUUAGCACACUGUCACGGUUUACUGGGACACUUAAGUAAAACAGGAUAAUUGUUUUUGUUAUUAGGAACACCUGUCCUUUUCCUACUAUGAAAAGUCAACAUGUCUGCUGUGAACCUCAGGUGCAACAGGCCCUUUUUUAAAGCUGCAGCCCCAGUAGAACCAGAGUACUUGAUCCACUGUGUUAAAUAGGGAAACCUCAGUGUUAUCUCCUAUUACAGUUAUCUAAAUAAUCCAUGUGAUAUAAAAUAUGAAUGAAGAAUCUAGGGGAAACAUAUUUGAAGGUGUAUAUUAAAUGUAAUUGAAGUAAUCAACAGCUGCUACAAUGUAACAUGUUAUCUUGUCUACAGCCAUGAAAGGACAUUAACUAUUUUUGUAUUUAAUGAUUGUUAUUAAAUUAGCUUUAUACCAAUGUUAUACCUCAAUCCCUUUUUUUAUGUUUUAUGAGCAUAUAUUGAGAGUAUAUAUGCAGUUUGUUUAAAUGUACGUAUACCAAUGAAAGCACAUUAUGUACAUGUUAUUUCACAGUGUGUGUGUUACACUAUAAUAUAUAGUAGCCUCCAGUAAGAUGAUUAAGUAUUGCAGUGUCUUUUCAGGAAUUGCUCUGACAUGAUAGAGCUAAUUUACUGUUAAUGAGUGGAAAUAGUCUUAGGGCAAAAAUGAGCUGUGGACCCCUAUUGACCCAGCACCCGUUUCUCCCACUCUAUGUGCAUUGUUUAUAACAUGUACAGUAUACAGCAUAAAGAAGCACACUGUCUCUUAAAACUAUCAAAUUCAGUAAAAUCUCUUAACAAAU